UACAGAGGGGGCAAGCGUUGUUCGGAAUUACUGGGCGUAAAGCGCACGUAGGUGGUCUGUUAUGUCGGAUGUGAAAGCCCUCGGCUCAACUGAGGAAGUGCAUCCGAAACUGGCAGGCUUGAGUAUGUAAGAGGGUCGCGGAAUUCCCGGUGUAGAGGUGAAAUUCGUAGAUAUCGGGAGGAACACCGGUGGCGAAGGCGGCGACCUGGGACAAUACUGACACUGAGGUGCGAAAGCGUGGGGAGCAAACAGG
rnacentral:rRNA from 1 species